UAGAGUUUGAUCCUGGCUCAGAUUGAACGCUGGCGGCAGGCCUAACACAUGCAAGUCGGACGGUAGCACAGAGGAGCUUGCUCCUCGGGUGACGAGUGGCGGACGGGUGAGUAAUGUCUGGGGAUCUGCCCGAUAGAGGGGGAUAACCACUGGAAACGGUGGCUAAUACCGCAUAACGUCGCAAGACCAAAGAGGGGGACCUUCGGGCCUCUCACUAUCGGAUGAACCCAGAUGGGAUUAGCUAGUAGGCGGGGUAAUGGCCCACCUAGGCGACGAUCCCUAGCUGGUCUGAGAGGAUGACCAGCCACACUGGAACUGAGACACGGUCCAGACUCCUACGGGAGGCAGCAGUGGGGAAUAUUGCACAAUGGGCGCAAGCCUGAUGCAGCCAUGCCGCGUGUAUGAAGAAGGCCUUCGGGUUGUAAAGUACUUUCAGCGGGGAGGAAGGCGAUGUGGUUAAUAACCGCGUCGAUUGACGUUACCCGCAGAAGAAGCACCGGCUAACUCCGUGCCAGCAGCCGCGGUAAUACGGAGGGUGCAAGCGUUAAUCGGAAUUACUGGGCGUAAAGCGCACGCAGGCGGUCUGUUAAGUCAGAUGUGAAAUCCCCGGGCUUAACCUGGGAACUGCAUUUGAAACUGGCAGGCUUGAGUCUCGUAGAGGGGGGUAGAAUUCCAGGUGUAGCGGUGAAAUGCGUAGAGAUCUGGAGGAAUACCGGUGGCGAAGGCGGCCCCCUGGACGAAGACUGACGCUCAGGUGCGAAAGCGUGGGGAGCAAACAGGAUUAGAUAUCCUGGUAGUCCACGCCGUAAACGAUGUCGACUUGGAGGUUGUUCCCUUGAGGAGUGGCUUCCGGAGCUAACGCGUUAAGUCGACCGCCUGGGGAGUACGGCCGCAAGGUUAAAACUCAAAUGAAUUGACGGGGGCCCGCACAAGCGGUGGAGCAUGUGGUUUAAUUCGAUGCAACGCGAAGAACCUUACCUACUCUUGACAUCCAGAGAACUUAGCAGAGAUGCCUUGGUGCCUUCGGGAACUCUGAGACAGGUGCUGCAUGGCUGUCGUCAGCUCGUGUUGUGAAAUGUUGGGUUAAGUCCCGCAACGAGCGCAACCCUUAUCCUUUGUUGCCAGCGAUUCGGUCGGGAACUCAAAGGAGACUGCCGGUGAUAAACCGGAGGAAGGUGGGGAUGACGUCAAGUCAUCAUGGCCCUUACGAGUAGGGCUACACACGUGCUACAAUGGCGCAUACAAAGAGAAGCGACCUCGCGAGAGCAAGCGGACCUCAUAAAGUGCGUCGUAGUCCGGAUCGGAGUCUGCAACUCGACUCCGUGAAGUCGGAAUCGCUAGUAAUCGUGGAUCAGAAUGCCACGGUGAAUACGUUCCCGGGCCUUGUACACACCGCCCGUCACACCAUGGGAGUGGGUUGCAAAAGAAGUAGGUAGCUUAACCUUCGGGAGGGCGCUUACCACUUUGUGAUUCAUGACUGGGGUGAAGUCGUAACAAGGUAGCCGUA
rnacentral:rRNA from 1 species